AUCUCUGUGGCAUAAUUGGUUAGUGCCUUCAGCUGUAAAUUAAAAGGUUGGUGGUUCAGGCCCCCCCAGGGACG
rnacentral:tRNA from 1 species